UGUAGUGACUACAAAGCCUCAAACAUUGGAAUAUGGUUUGGAUCACCACCCAGAGGUUGAUGCAAGUUCUCUUCAUUCAGAUAAUACAUCUCCAGUAUGUGAACUGCAAGGAAGAAGUAGACCAAAUUCCUCAUUCAGCUUCUGCAGUUGAAGGCAACAACUUUAAUAUGACAUGUGAAUAUAGCACAGCUUUCCUCAGCCUCCAGUGGUACAAACAGGUGCCUGGGGAGAAGUUUCAGCUUCUGAGAAUCCAAAGGGUAGACGAGGAGAUCACAGAGGACAGAUUUGUAUUUCAGCUGCAGAAAGAGAAGAAGCUCAGCACCCUGUCUAUCAAGCAGAUGGAAGUGUCAGACUCAGCCACCUAUUGGUGUGCUCUGGAGGCACAGUGUUAGAAAGCAGCUCCUCGCUGAACGAAAACCUGAUGACUAACCAAGAACUAAAAUGACCAUCUUUAUACUGUACUGUAUGUAUGUGCUGGGCAUUGCUAAGGUACUGGUGGCCCCAGGGGAAAGAUCCUAUUGUUGGACCCUAUAGCCACACCAAAAUAUUUGUGACAGUAUCACCCGUAAGAAGGUACACUCAAAUAUAAUAGGGCCUAUGAUGAUGAUUUAUGGGCAAAUGUUUUUUUAACUUUUUGUCUAGUAUGUCGCAGCUUUCUGAUUGCUGCCUUACCAGCGACCUCUUUAACACGCACAUUUCUAAUUGCAAUUGCUUCAUAUACAGUGAAACCUCAAAUGUACAUCUCCUGAUUUUAAACUUGCCUUCAUUUUGGAAAAUUGUGUUCCCACCAACGUAUAAUGCAUAAUACAUUUCACUGAUUUUUACAUUUUCCCAAUUUUACACCAUUUUUUUGUUCUUCUGAAAAACAUGAAAUGGGGGUUGUACUGUAUUACAGUUAUUAUAAUUUGAUCCAUGCAUAUAAAGACUUGUAUGUUCAUUUUUUUUGAGUUAAGACUGAAUUAACUCUGUAAUGUUGUAGCUGUGUGCUUUCAUUUGUCAUUUGGUGCCAGUGCCUCUAUGAAGGUGAGCUGCACUGCACUGCUUUUCAAGGUAUAGUAUAGAAGAUAGUUAUUAAAACAAAUAGAUGAUGUGGGAGCCUGGUGGUAAAGUCUGCCUGACCUGAGCAACCAGGAGAUUUACCUACACCACUGAAAACACAACUCAGAAAUAUCCUAUUGAGCUUAUUGCUGGAAAGGAGUAUGAUCUACAUGGAACACCCUGAGUAUCGGUACUAAUUGGAACAUACAAUGAAGUGUCUCAGGAAAAGUAGAGUAUUGUAUGUCACACAGGUACCAUAUGAUGUCUCAGGCCUGUAUAGAUCAAUUCCUACCAAAGGCUAUUUUUCCUUCAUGUUUCAAUUUAAGUAUCACUUUAAUCUGCACUAGGUAAUUGUUAUCACAGUGUGUUACAAUGUUUAUGAUAUGGCUACAUUUUGGAGACAUUCUGCAGUCAUUCUGUGCCAUAUCUACAGACCUUCAACAACUUUGAAUUUUGAUUGUUAUGAACUAUGGGCUAAGGAAAACUCUUUGAACUUUAACCCUGGGGGCGGGAUGAGAGGCGGGACUGUACCUCUCACCAAUAGGCUUGAUAAAGGGCCCAGCAGAGGCCCGAAACGUUGUCGCUGAUCACCGAAUCAAUUGCAUCAGCUGUGCCACAGGUCUCUUGUUUUGCUAUAUACAGUUUUUGGGCUUUGGGCAGCAUUGGGCCCGAUACCUGACGGCACCUGACACCAAUCCGGUGUUUCAGGCCUGGAGCAGCACUCCAUUGUUGGGAUUUAUUACUGGAAAGCAGACAUACAGAAUAAACUACUAAAUAUGACAUACCACAAGUACAAAUCUCUCCACUAAAGAUUCAGCUUUCUUUGAUAAUUAAUAUUGUCUUUGAUCCUUGCAGG